UUCUUCGGAGAGUUUGAUCCUGGCUCAGGAUGAACGCUGGCGGCGUGCCUAAUACAUGCAAGUCGAGCGAACUGAUUAGAAGCUUGCUUCUAUGACGUUAGCGGCGGACGGGUGAGUAACACGUGGGCAACCUGCCUGUAAGACUGGGAUAACUUCGGGAAACCGAAGCUAAUACCGGAUAGGAUCUUCUCCUUCAUGGGAGAUGAUUGAAAGAUGGUUUCGGC
rnacentral:rRNA from 1 species